AACGAACGCUGGCGGCAUGCCUAACACAUGCAAGUCGAACGAGACCUUCGGGGCUAGUGGCGCACGGGUGCGUAACGCGUGGGAACCUGCCUUUAGGUUCGGAAUAACUCAGGGAAAUUUUAGCUAAUACCGGAUGAUGUCUUCGGACCAAAGAUUUAUCGCCAUUAGAUGGGCCCGCGUUGGAUUACCUAGUUGGUGGGGUAAAGGCCUACCAAGGCGACGAUCCUUAGCUGGGCUGAGAGGAUGAGCAGCCACACUGGGAAUGAGCCACGGCCAAGACUCCUACGGGAGGCAGCAGUGGGGAAUAUUGGACAAUGGGCGGAAGGAUGAUCCAGCAAUGCGGGGUGAAUGAUGAAGGCCUUAGGGUUGUAAAGCUCUCUUACCCGAGAAGAUAAUGACAGUAUCGGGAGAAUAAGCACCGGCUAACUCCGUG
rnacentral:rRNA from 1 species